rnacentral:rRNA from 1 species
UACGAAGGGGGCUAGCGUUGCUCGGAAUCACUGGGCGUAAAGGGUGCGUAGGCGGGUCUUUUAAGUCAGGGGUGAAAUCCUGGAGCUCAACUCCAGAACUGCCUUUGAUACUGAGGAUCUUGAGUUCGGGAGAGGUGAGUGGAACUGCGAGUGUAGAGGUGAAAUUCGUAGAUAUUCGCAAGAACACCAGUGGCGAAGGCGGCUCACUGGCCCGAUACUGACGCUGAGGCACGAAAGCGUGGGGAACAAACAGG